UUUGUUUUUCUUACUCGCAUCUACCCGCCACCCGAAUUUGGACUCAUUAAAGGCCAGCAUCAAUGAGCAAUGGACAGCUAUGGAAGACCAUUACAUCAUCAAUCUGUGCAAGGCCUUCAGCGGGCGCUUGGAGAAUGUCACAGGAGCUGAUGGCGGUUAUAUUCAUCCGCGUAUUUAUGCAACUACCGGUAUAUCAGUCCUAAAACUUAUAAAAUUUGGUUCGGAAUUAUUUACACAGUGAUCAGUCUUACAACCUAUUUAGAGGAUCCGGAGUAGUGAUAAAAAUUGAGUGAAUUGUUUGACUCGUCUAUUUGUUUGAAAUUGGUGAUUUGAAGAAUGUAUUUCUUUUUCCUCAGUCGUUGUCAUUAUUAUUUAUCUCCUGAGGAGUGAAUUUCCUACAUUUAAUUAUAUUCGAACUGGAUUGAACAUUCGUUUGUGCUCAUAAAAGAUAAUUGCCCAUGAAGUGUUUGUUUAUAAGAGCUACGUAGUAUUAAGGAAUUGGUAAUAUUCUCCCCAGUUAUUAUUACAGUACAUCACGGAGUCCCUUAAAUUUACUAACUAAACUUUCAAUUCGUUUCAUCUUAUCCCUGGAGUAAAUUAAUAUGGUUUGUCUAAUUUGAUUAAUUAUAAUAUAUAUAAAAGAGCUACAAAAAAGUCCAUGAAAAAGAGUACUCGGUCAAAGAUAACCUACUCUUGUAUAUAAAAUGUCAUUUAGUUUGAUCAAAGCAAAAUGUCAACAAUCAUAGUUAUAAUAAACAUGUUGUCAACCGACAAUUCCGAGGCCUAUUAAUGAUGGUACUUUAAAGGUCAAUUUGAUAUUCAAUGUAAAGAUACACAACUUCAUCAUCAAUUGAUAAGAUGACCGUCAAAUCAUUAAAUAUAAUGUUUAUUAAAG
rnacentral:lncRNA from 1 species